rnacentral:misc_RNA from 1 species
AAAGAGACGGUUUUUGCCGACAAAACUUCUUAAAACCCCUGCUCUUUUACACUUCCUCUUUCUUCUCACCUAUUCAUCUUUGACUACGCAGUUUUCGGCAUAGCAUGUCCGACCAGCAGUUAGGCGAAUUUGAUUACAUGGCGGAAGAGGGAGAAAUGGCUGAUUUGGUAGACCAAAUGGACCAAGAUAACUAUGGUGGUGAAGGCAAUGUAGAAAUUGAAGCAGAUGAAUAUGACAUGCUCACGAAGGUGACUGAUACAUCUUCUGCUCAAGCUAGGAAGGGCAAAGACAUACAGGGUAUUCCGUGGGAAAGAUUGAACAUAACGAGGGAUAAGUACAGAUUGACAAGGCUUGAACAAUACAAGAAUUAUGAGAACAUCCCUUUGUCUGGUCAAGCUGUAGAUAAGGAGUGCAAGCAAAUGGAGAAGGGUGGCAACUACUAUGAAUUCUUUCAUAAUACUAGACUGGUUAAACCCACAAUUCUUCAUUUUCAGCUCAGAAACUUGGUUUGGGCUACCUCGAAACAUGAUGUUUAUCUUAUGUCUAAUUAUUCAGUUAUGCACUGGUCAUCUUUAUCUUCCAAUUUGUCUGAGGUCAUCAAUUUUGCAGGACAUAUAGCACCUACUGAGAAACAUGCUGGAAGUUUGCUGGAAGGUUUCACACAAACUCAAAUUGGCACAUUGGCAGUCAAGGAUAAUUUUCUUGUUGCUGGUGGUUUCCAAGGAGAGCUUACUUGCAAACGUUUGGACAAAAAAGGCAUUAGCUUUUGUACCCGCACCACAUAUGAUGAUAAUGCCAUCACAAAUGCUGUUGAGAUAUAUGACAGCUGGAGGGGUGGAAUUCAUUUUAUGGCUUUCUUGCAGCAUAAGAGAAUAUGACAUGGAGAGGUUUCAGCUUCUGAAUCACUUCCGCUUCUCUUGGCCAGUUAAUCAUACAUCAUUAAGCCCUAACCGUAGGCUAAUUGCUGUCGUUGGGGAUCACCUGGAUGGUUUGCUUGUUGAUGCGCAUAAUGGAAAGGUCAUAGCCUCAGUUGGAGGUCAUCUGGAUUACUCUUUUGCAUCUGCGUGGCACCCAGAUGGACAUGUUUUCGCUACAGGUAAUCAGGAUAAAACUUGCCGGGUAUGGGAUAUAAGAAAUUUGUCCUCGCCACUUGUAAUUCUAAAGGGAAACUUGGGUGCUGUCCGAUCUAUUCGCUUUUCAUCAGAUGGCCAGUUCAUGGUCGUGGCUGAACCUGCAGAUUUUGUUCAUGUGUAUAGCACCAAGGCAGACUAUAAAAGGCGACAAGAGAUAGAUUUCUUUGGUGAGAUUUCAGGAGUGGCUUUAAGUCCAGAUGACGAGUCUUUAUACAUAGGAAUCUGGGACCGGACUUAUGCAAGCUUGCUACAGUAUAACAAAAGGCAUGCAUAUGGAUAUCUUGAUUCAUACUUGUGAUUGUUUAUUAGAGAAUUUUCAUCACAAGUAUGCCGCUGAUGCUUUCACUCUUUUGUAUCCGGUUCUAUGAACUAGUUAGUUUGAGUUUGAAUCAAAGACAAUUACACAAUAAGGUUAAUGUGACAUACUUUGCUCGGAUCAUGUACAGGCUAUGAUUAGAUGUUUGCAUACUUGAAAUGAAAGCCCUCUUAUCAAGUCCCUG